UUCUCUCUUUCGGGAGUUUGCGGGGGUUUUAGCGUCUCCCUUCAUCUCCGCAACCAAUCCCAUUUGCCGCUCCUCUCCCUUUCUUCUCCUGCUCCAACCCCUGGCGAUCCGCAAUCUUUUAUAAUCAUUCUUUUCCAUCGAUAGAUUCGCUAAAUCCUCUGCCUCCAAGCCCUUUUCUCUCUUGCUAUGGAUGUUUCGAGUGCUCCGGUCCUCAAAACCACCAAUUUUUUCUGCAGAGUUUCUUCUCUCCGAUCCAAUCCUACGUAUGUAACCCUCUUUAAGAAGAAUCCACCAAGGAAAGGCGCGGGUCAUUUCGUUGAUUUCUCAAAAAUCCCAUCCUGGAGACCUUCAGCCGCUUCCAUCAGAGGAGCUUUACGAAUUUCCGCCCAUUUUCGGAGGCCUUCGAGGCGUCGGAACACUCUCAGAGAGAAACUCAAUUCAUACGGAGAAGAACAGAAGGUAAGUAAGGUUACUGAACUCUUAAACCUUGAUUCCAAUUUGGAGGAUUCAAACUAUAUCAAUGGUGAAACAAAGACAGAUAAUUCUGAGUCAAGUUCGAAUUUUGAUAGCGAGAGAGGAGUGGUUGAUAAUUGUAGUUCAGAGAACCAAAAUAUCUCUGGGAAUCCAGUUUUGUGGAAUAAAUUGGAGAAAUGGAUCGAGCAGUACAAGAAAGAUUCGGAGUUUUGGGGAGUCGGUGCAGGUCCUAUAUUCACUAUUUAUCAAGAUACUGAUGGGAAAGUUAGCCGGGUUUCAGUAAGUGAGGAUGAAAUUACUAAAAGGAGCCAAAUCCCAGUAUGGUCUCUUGAAGAAAAAGAAUCAAUAGAAGAAUUUAUGGAUGUGAACUCUAAGAUUUCACAUGCUAAACUCAUUGCUAAACAGAUUGAAAGUGGUGAGUAUGUGCUCCCAAGAAGUAGUUCGAUCGCUAAGUUUGUGGUUGAGGGGAAAAAAUUCACUUUUGCUGAUGGUCUUCGGUCUAUCUCUCUUCAGAGUGGGCCAACUUUGAAAAUCUUCCCUCAGAUUGGAUUCAUGGUAUUGUGUGGUUGCUGUGUUUUCUGGGCCAUGUCAAAGUUGUUUGUGGGAAAUCACAAGGUGGAGCUGACAAGGCAAGAGGUUGAGAUGCUGAGGAGAAAGAAAAAAUCAAGACUGGAGAGGGAGGAGAUGGAGAAGGGCGGCGUCAAAGUUGUUGGGGAUGAACCAGAGUUCCCAACCACCAGAAGGCCUCAGUUGGAUAAGAAUGAACUGAUGAAGGACAUUAUGCAAGCCAAGGCAUCUACAGAGAAAUUGGCUAUAACAGAUGUCUCUAGUCAUUUUUCUGCUAUCAGUCCUGACUUUGAUGAUAAAGUUAGGGAAAUCAGAAAGAUGCAAAGGAAGGUUCGUGAAUUAGAGCAACAGGAUCAUUCCCAAAAUGAUAAGAAAGGUGAAGAAUAUGGUGUAGCUUCUAUUCUGUUGGGUGCAAAAGAUCAAAAUGCUAGUAAUGAAAAUAAUGCUAAUGCAGAAGCUGCAUCGAUAAAGGAAGGUUCAAAUCAUGACAGGACUUCUGAUAUCAAUCUGCUUGAAGACCAGGAAAAAAAUGGGAGAUUUUCUGUGGAUAUUGAAAACAAGAAGCUGCUCAGAGAAAAUAACAUGGGUAAUAUGAAUGACACUCCAGGUGGAGAAUCAUUAAACACCUUUGCAAACAGCAAACCUAUCACCACUGUUAAGGCGGAUGAUCAAAAUGAAGAGAAGACAACAUGCUCAAUGGAUGGAAAAUCUGUUGAGGUUGAUAUAGAACAUACUGUUCAUUCUGGUAGUACUAAUGUUUUUAGCAUUGUUGACUGGAUAAAUGAAGAGACAUCUGGGAAAAAGAAGGUGGAGAGUUCCAUAAUGGAAGAGAAAGAAUCUAACAGAAGUUCUUCUGAUUUUGUUAGAACCAGGCCAAAGAUUAUAAGGUCAGUGAAGGAAGCUAGAGAGUACCUAGCUCGAAAGCACAGGCCCCUACCAGGAAAAGCACAAGCUGAUCAGGAAAUGCAAGUUAAAGAUCUGGCAGCAAAAGCCAAUGGUUGCAUCUUUACUUAUGAUGACAAUCCUAUUGUAAGGUCAAGUCAGUCAAGUAGUGAGAGUUCUAAUGUUUCUGUGCCAAAUAAACUACAUCAUGGUAAUGUUUCUGACACUGGAUCAUAUGGCGAUGGUAGUAUGAUUAAGACUUCGUCUAUGACGAUGGAGAAUUCUGAAGCGCAAGGAGCAAAAACUGUGAAUAAUGGUGAUUAUAGAGGGAAAUCACUGAAGUCCCUAAAUGUUAAGGGAGGUGUGAACUCUCCAUUUUCAAACGAUUCUGAGAUCGGUAAGACGUUAAGCUCAAACAAAAUAUUGCUUGGAGGUGUUGCAGAACAUACUGUUUCUCCUACUAAUUCUAGCAUUUCAAGAAUGAACAAUCUGAGUGAUGAACAAAAACAUGUACAGGAUCACAUUGACAGUUGCAUCUUCCACACAUCUGACAAUAGUCAAGAAUCAGACCCCCAUAUUACCUAUUCUGAUAAAUCUACUUUAGGUGUUACUUCUGAUCUAUUAAUGUCUGGAAUGACCACGCCAUCCAAAAAUGAUGUAGUUUAUAAUUCUCAAAAAUCAGAGACUUUAACAGAAAAAGAGCAAAUUGGACCGAAAACACAACUUAGAAGACUUAAAAAUGUUAGAGUUAUUUGUGACACCAGAAAUAAUGAAGAUACAGAGGUCAGCAUGGGCAGGAUACUCAGUUUAGAAAGUAGAAUGGCUGGAUCGUCAACAUUAGACAUGACACAGAAUUUUACAACAUCGUCUGUCAGCUCUUCCAAGGAGUCCACCAUAAACAAGAAGGAAAUCAGAGAGGAUAAUUGUAGAUACUCUUCGUUUGGGGAUAACGUAUCUGGAGAGAAAAGAACAGCCAGGUCUCCUGAGACUGAAUUCAGUAAGUUCAAAGAAGCACAUGACACAAAAGUGCUUUCUAGGUCCGGAACAAACUUAUCACGUGAUUCUGAUGGAGCUGGCUGCCUAACUAAGGAAAAACAUCAAGAUGCUGAAAACAGUUGGGUCAACAAGAAUUUUCAGGAAUUUGAUCCUGUAAUUAAGAAGAUUGGGGUCGGCUUCAAAGAAAAUUACAUGGUGGCAAAAGAGAAGGUAAAAGAGCAGCAAGGUUUAAGUGCUGAUAUAAGUGAACUUGGAUUAAUGGAAGAGGAUGAGGAACUGGAAUGGAUGAAUGAUGAACAUCUUCGGGAGAUCGUAUUUCAAGUUAGACAGAAUGAGUUGGCUGGGCGGGAUCCUUUUCAUUUAAUGGAUCCUGAUGAUAAGCACACCUUCUUUGAGGGGCUCGAACGCAAAGCUGAGAAGGUGAACGAAAAGCUAUUGGGUUUGCAUGAGUGGGUCCACUCCAGGAUCGAAAACCUUGACUAUGGAGCAGAUGGCAUCAGCUUGGAUGAUCCAUUAGAAAAGAUAAUUCCUCGUUGGAAAGGUCCCGCAAUUGAUAAAAAUCCUCAGUUUCUUACCAAGCUCUCUGGAGAUCGGACUGCAAUUUUUGCUGAAAAGGGGGAUGCUCAGAAUAGCCUUCAAAAUAUGAAAGAGUCACCAAAUUCUAAUGGUGCUGUUUACUGUUCAUUUAAUGGUAAAAGGAAUAUGUCUCCUGAUAAGUCUUAUGCAAACCCCAAGACGCUUAUAGAGUGCAGUGAUGGUACAAGCAGACCUGGCAAAAAGACAGGGAAGGAACAGUGGCAGCAUACAAAGAAAUGGUCUGAAGCUUUCCUGGAAGUUUAUAAUGCAGAGACAAAUCCAGAAAUAAAAUCUAUUAUGAGGGAUAUGGGAAAGGAUUUAGACAGAUGGAUCACGCAGAAAGAAAUACAAGAUGUCGCUGACUGGAUGACAAGAAUACCUAAAAGGAAGCGGAGAUACAUAGAAAAGAAAAUGGAGAAAAUUAAAAGGGAAGUGGAAAUGUUUGGACCACAAGCAGUGGUUAGCAAGUACAGAGAAUAUUCAGAUGAAAAAGAAAAGGAUUACCUUUGGUGGUUGGAUCUUAAUUUCAUCCUGUGCAUUGAACUAUACACAGUUGAUGAUGGCAUCCCAAAGGUGGGAUUUUAUUCCUUAGAGAUGGCUCCAGACCUUGAACUAAAUCCAAAGCAGUAUCAUGUGAUUGCUUUUGCGGAUCCAGGAGAUUCAAAGAACUUCUGUUAUAUUGUCCAGGCUCAUAUGGAUAUGCUUGGAAGUGGCAGAGCUUUUGUCAUUGCUCGACCUCCAAAGGAUGCAUUUAGGGAAGCCAAAGCCAAUGGAUUUAGUGUUUCUGUGAUCAGGAAAGGGGAGGUCAAACUUAAUGUGGACCAAACACUAGAAGAAGUAGAGGAAGAAAUUACAGAGAUUGGAAGUAAAAUAUACCAUGAUAAGAUCAUGCAUGAACGAUCAGUUGAUAUUCGCACGUUAAUGAGGGGUGUAAUCACUGCUGAAAGAUCCACCAAGAGGUCAAAACAGGUGCCUACAAAGCUUGCUAAAUCCUAAAGACAUCAUCCAGAAUGGCACAAGGAAUCGCCAGCUUUAUUUUCCUUUAGAGAUACUUCUGCUGCAUAAAAUCCUUGUGAAAGAAAAGUUAGUACUAACUGUAAGGAUGAGUAGGUGCUAUUAUUUCCACAGUGACUACUUUCUGCUCUGUAACAUAGUCAACCCACCUUCUAAAUUGGUUUCUUUUAAUCAGCAGAAUUGCAUACUUUAUCCUUGUUGCCUUGAAUGUAAAUUGGUUUUUUAUAGUUUAGAAGUACUAGAAAAUUCGUUAUGUGGGUGAUAUAAUGAUUGUACUCUUUCAAACAUGGCAAACGUAUAUUCUAUUGCUUGGGCUGUUUCAAGUACGUCA